rnacentral:rRNA from 1 species
ACGCCUAAUACAUGCAAGUCGAACGAAGUAGCAAUACUUAGUGGCAGACGGGUGAGUAACAUGUGGGUAUCUUCCCUUUGGUGAGGAAUAACACGAGGAAACUUGUGCUAAUACCUCAUAAGUCUUUACGGAGAAAGCUUUAUGCGCCAUUGGAUGAGCCUGCACUUGAUUAGUUUGUUGGUGGGGUAAUGGCCUACCAAGACAAUGAUCAAUAGCUGAUUUGAGAGGAUGAUCAGCCACAUUGGGACUGAGACACGGCCCAAACUUCUACGGAAGGCAGCAGUAGGGAAUCUUGCACAAUGGAGGAAACUCUGAUGCAGCGAUGCCGCGUGAGUGAAGAAGGCCUUUGGGUUGUAAAGCUCUUUCGUCGGGGAAGAAAAUGACUGUACCCGAAUAAGAAGGUCCGGCUAACUUCGUGCCAGCAGCCGCGGUAAUACGAAGGGACCUAGCGUAGUUCGGAAUUACUGGGCUUAAAGAGUUCGUAGGUGGUUAAAAAAGUUGGUGGUGAAAUCCCAGAGCUUAACUCUGGAACUGCCAUCAAAACUUUUUAGCUAGAGUAUGAUAGAGGAAAGCAGAAUUUCUAGUGUAGAGGUGAAAUUCGUAGAUAUUAGAAAGAAUACCAAUUGCGAAGGCAGCUUUCUGGAUCAUUACUGACACUGAGGAACGAAAGCAUGGGUAGCGAAGAGGAUUAGAUACCCUCGUAGUCCAUGCCGUAAACGAUGUGUGUUAGACGUUGGAAAUUUAUUUUCAGUGUCGCAGCGAAAGCAAUAAACACACCGCCU